AUUGAACGCUGGCGGUAGGCCUAACACAUGCAAGUCGAACGGCAGCACAGUAAGAGCUUGCUCUUACGGGUGGCGAGUGGCGGACGGGUGAGGAAUACAUCGGAAUCUACUUUUUCGUAGGGGAUAACGUAGGGAAACUUACGCUAUUACCGCAUACGACCUACGGGUGAAAUCAGGGGAUCUUCGGAUCUUGCGCGAUUGAAUGAGCCGAUGUCGGAUUAGCUAGUUGGCGGGGUAACGGCCCACCAAGGCGACGAUCCGUAGCUGGUCUGAGAGGAUGAUCAGCCACACUGGAACUGAGACACGGUCCAGACUCCUACGGGAGGCAGCAGUGGGGAAUAUUGGACAAUGGGCGCAAGCCUGAUCCAGCCAUACCGCGUGGGUGAAGAAGGCCUUCGGAUUGUAAAGCACUUUUGUUGGGGAAGAAGAGCAGCAGGUUAAUACCCCGCUGUUUUGACGGUACCAAAAGAAUAAGCACCGGCUAACUUCGUG
rnacentral:rRNA from 1 species